rnacentral:rRNA from 1 species
UGAACGCUGGCGGCGUGCCUAAUACAUGCAAGUCGAACGAGUUCUCGUUGAUGAUCGGUGCUUGCACCGAGAUUCAACAUGGAACGAGUGGCGGACGGGUGAGUAACACGUGGGUAACCUGCCCUUAAGUGGGGGAUAACAUUUGGAAACAGAUGCUAAUACCGCAUAGAUCCAAGAACCGCAUGGUUCUUGGCUGAAAGAUGGCGUAAGCUAUCGCUUUUGGAUGGACCCGCGGCGUAUUAGCUAGUUGGUGAGGUAAUGGCUCACCAAGGCGAUGAUACGUAGCCGAACUGAGAGGUUGAUCGGCCACAUUGGGACUGAGACACGGCCCAAACUCCUACGGGAGGCAGCAGUAGGGAAUCUUCCACAAUGGACGCAAGUCUGAUGGAGCAACGCCGCGUGAGUGAAGAAGGCUUUCGGGUCGUAAAACUCUGUUGUUGGAGAAGAAUGGUCGGCAGAGUAACUGUUGUCGGCGUGACGGUAUCCAACCAGAAAGCCACGGCUAACUACGUGCCAGCAGCCGCGGUAAUACGUAGGUGGCAAGCGUUAUCCGGAUUUAUUGGGCGUAAAGCGAGCGCAGGCGGUUUUUUAAGUCUGAUGUGAAAGCCCUCGGCUUAACCGAGGAAGCGCAUCGGAAACUGGGAAACUUGAGUGCAGAAGAGGACAGUGGAACUCCAUGUGUAGCGGUGAAAUGCGUAGAUAUAUGGAAGAACACCAGUGGCGAAGGCGGCUGUCUGGUCUGCAACUGACGCUGAGGCUCGAAAGCAUGGGUAGCGAACAGGAUUAGAUACCCUGGUAGUCCAUGCCGUAAACGAUGAAUGCUAGGUGUUGGAGGGUUUCCGCCCUUCAGUGCCGCAGCUAACGCAUUGAGCAUUCCGCCUGGGGAGUACGACCGCAAGGUUGAAACUCAAAGGAAUUGACGGGGGCCCGCACAAGCGGUGGAGCAUGUGGUUUAAUUCGAAGCAACGCGAAGAACCUUACCAGGUCUUGACAUCUUUUGAUCACCUGAGAGAUCAGGUUUCCCCUUCGGGGGCAAAAUGACAGGUGGUGCAUGGUUGUCGUCAGCUCGUGUCGUGAGAUGUUGGGUUAAGUCCCGCAACGAGCGCAACCCUUAUGACUAGUUGCCAGCAUUUAGUUGGGCACUCUAGUAAGGCUGCCGGUGACAAACCGGAGGAAGGUGGGGAUGACGUCAAAUCAUCAUGCCCCUUAUGACCUGGGCUACACACGUGCUACAAUGGAUGGUACAACGAGUUGCGAGACCGCGAGGUCAAGCUAAUCUCUUAAAGCCAUUCUCAGUUCGGACUGUAGGCUGCAACUCGCCUACACGAAGUCGGAAUCGCUAGUAAUCGCGGAUCAGCACGCCGCGGUGAAUACGUUCCCGGGCCUUGUACACACCGCCCGUCACACCAUGAGAGUUUGUAACACCCGAAGCCGGUGGCGUAACCCUUUUAGGGAGCGAGCCGUCUAAGGUGGGACAAAUGAUUAGGGUGAAGUC